rnacentral:tRNA from 1 species
AAGGCUUUAGCUUAAUUAAAGUGUCUGUUUUGCAUACAGGCGAUGUGAGGUAAUAUCUUGCAAGUCUUA